rfam:Theobroma cacao cultivar Matina 1-6 chromosome 5, whole genome shotgun sequence.
AUCCUAUGAUGUGGACAUUUUCUCAGUAGCUCUUUAAACCUCUCCUAGGCUUUAUACAAGGACUCACCAUCAAAUUGUGUGAAUGAGGUGAUAUAGUUCUUCAUCUU